CUAGUACUCCCUCCGUCCAGAAAUACUUGUCAUCAAAAUGAAUAAAAAGGGAUGUAUUUAGAUGUAUUUUAGUUCUAGAUACAUCCCUUUUUGUCUACUUUGAUGACAAGUAUUUUCGAACGGAGGGAGUAUGCA
rnacentral:pre_miRNA from 1 species